rnacentral:rRNA from 1 species
UUACCGAGUUUACAACUCCCAAACCCAUGUGAACAUACCUAUUGUUGCUUCGGCGGGAUUGCCCCGGGCGCCUCGCGUGCCCCGGAUCAGGCGCCCGCCUAGGAACUUUAACUCUUGUUUUAUUUUGAAUCUUCUGAGUAGUUUUUACAAAUAAAUAAAAACUUUCAACAACGGAUCUCUUGGUUCUGGCAUCGAUGAAGAACGCAGCGAAAUGCGAUAAGUAAUGUGAAUUGCAGAAUUCAGUGAAUCAUCGAAUCUUUGAACGCACAUUGCGCCCGCCAGUAUUCUGGCGGGCAUGCCUGUCUGAGCGUCAUUUCAACCCUCAUGCCCCUAGGGCGUGGUGUUGGGGAUCGGCCAAAGCCCGCAAGGGACGGCCGGCCCCAGAUCAGGUAGGAAUACCCGCUGAACUUAAGCAUAUCAAUAAGCGGAGGAAAAGAAACCAACAGGGAUUGCCCUAGUAACGGCGAGUGAAGCGGCAACAGCUCAAAUUUGAAAUCUGGCGCAAGCCCGAGUUGUAAUUUGUAGAGGAUGUUUCUGGCGACGUGCCUUCCGAGUUCCCUGGAACGGGACGCCAUAGAGGGUGAGAGCCCCGUACGGUUGGAUGCCUAGCCUCUGUGAAACUCCUUCGACGAGUCGAGUAGUUUGGGAAUGCUGCUCUAAAUGGGAGGUAUACGUCUUCUAAAGCUAAAUACCGGCCAGAGACCGAUAGCGCACAAGUAGAGUGAUCGAAAGAUGAAAAGCACUUUGAAAAGAGGGUUAAAAAGUACGUGAAAUUGUUGAAAGGGAAGCGUUCAUGACCAGACUUGAGCAGGUUGAUCAUCCGUGGUUCUCCGCGGUGCACUCUGCCUGCUCAGGCCAGCAUCAGUUCGCUCCGGGGGAUAAAGGCUCUGGGAANGUGGCUCCUUCGGGAGUGUUAUAGCCCACUGCGUAAUACCCUGGGGUGGACUGA